AAAUAGCCCCGAUUGAAAUGGAAAUCCUUUUUUGUUAUUGCGAAGCUAUUUUUUCUUUGGUCGCAAUAAUCUAGAAGCGCAAUGACAAAAAAGAUUGAAAUGGAAAGCGGGAAGUCCU
rnacentral:sRNA from 1 species